rnacentral:lncRNA from 1 species
CAUUUUGUGCUAUUUUAUGUUCUGAGAAGGAUUGAUUACCACAAAGACAGAUCUAUAGAGAAUGUGAGUGGAAACUAUACGAGCUGCUAAUGGGACAAGGCAUUUAAGAAUCAUCCGAGUUCUUCUCUUCUUGCUGGCUGGAGCUAAGAAUUCAAGAACAAACACCAGCAAAGAGAUUCAAUACAAAUAUCCAAUUUUGAGAUAAGGGACGGAUAACCAUAGUGCAUGCCCUCAGAUAUUUUAAUCUUUAUGAAACAUUUGAAGACCUCGAGAAAGUACAAUACCCUUGGUUCUACACAGAUGCUGUCAUGAAUUCAUCUUAUAUCAGUUUCAUAAUCCAUGUAGUCAAAUACCAUUGAGGAUAGUUGAGUGGUCACUAUGUUGUAAUAUCAGACAAAGAUGACAGUGAAUCUGCAAAAGAAGAAAGCAUUCUGAGGACCACUGAUUCCAGAGCAGGUGAAGGAAAUUUGAAAACGUAUGAAGAAAGAGACAAACAUUAGAGUUAUGCUGCCAACAACCAAGGAACAUCUGGGGCUACAAAAACCUGGAAGAGGCAAGGAUGGACCUUUCUCUACAAGUUUCAGAAGGAGCACGGCCCAGUCCACACCUUGAUUUCAGAUUUCUAACCUUCAGAACUGUGAGACAAUAUAUUUCGGUUGUUGAAAGCCACUCCAUUUGUGGUAUUUUGCUAUGGCCCUAGAAAACUAAUACAAUAGAUAUUAAGGUGAGAAAAAUAGUUUCAUUGCAAAAUAAUUUCUCCACAGCAAGUUCUAAGAGUGAACAUACUUUUAAAUGCAGCUAAAUAAAAAUGAAGAAUGUCUCAGUGACUUUACUGUAUUAAUGGCUAUCUUGAUGCUCCUAGAGGAGAAUUGUAACAUAAAAUAUUUUCAUUUCUUAAUUAGUUUUGUUUGUUAGUUUUUGUUUUUUUAGAUACAGAGCAUUCUCCUGUUGCCCCAGAUGGAAGGUAAUGGUGCAAUCAUGCGCAAUCACACCUCACUGAAGCCUCAACUUUCUGGGAUCCAGUGAUCCUCCUGCCUCAGCCUCCCAUGUAGCUGGGAACACAGAUUUGCACCACAGCACCAGGCUAAUAUAAAAAUAUUUGUUAGUGGAACAAAACAUUUUCCAUACUGGUCAUGUCACAUAACUACUACUCAAUGGAAGCUAAUUUGGGAAAUGCAGAAUGUCAAAAUUAAAAUAAUUUCCAUAAUACCUAGAAAAUUCAAAGCAACUUCUUAUUUUCCUCCAGGCAAAG